UACGUAGGGUGCGAGCGUUGUCCGGAAUUAUUGGGCGUAAAGAGCUUGUAGGCGGUUUGUCGCGUCUGCCGUGAAAUUUCGAGGCUCAACCUCGAACUUGCGGUGGGUACGGGCAGACUAGAGUGUGGUAGGGGAGACUGGAAUUCCUGGUGUAGCGGUGGAAUGCGCAGAUAUCAGGAGGAACACCGAUGGCGAAGGCAGAUCUCUGGGCCGUAACUGACGCUGAGGAGCGAAAGCGUGGGGAGCGAACAGG
rnacentral:rRNA from 1 species